rnacentral:lncRNA from 1 species
GCCAUACUCAAGAGCUCAGAAUCUAUCUGCUGAAUCCACUAAGUGAUAACAUUUGGUGGGCCCAGCCUGGAGACUCAGAAACGUCAGUGGCAUAAACGCCUCAUCAGACAUCAACCAGGAGCCAGCAGUCACCAUGUUUGCAGAAGUUGGACUACUAUACACUUUCUUUUCACAAUGAC